GGAGAGCAUAGCUCAGUGGCUGAGCAUUUGCUUUCUACACAGAAGGCUCCAGGUUCAAUCCUUGGCAUCUCCA